AGUGGGGAAUAUUGGACAAUGGGGGCAACCCUGAUCCAGCCAUGCCGCGUGUGUGAAGAAGGCCCUCGGGUUGUAAAGCACUUUCAGCGAGGAAGAACGCCUGGUGGUUAAUACCCAUCAGGAAAGACAUCACUCGCAGAAGAAGCACCGGCUAACUCCGUGCCAGCAGCCGCGGUAAUACGGAGGGUGCAAGCGUUAAUCGGAAUUACUGGGCGUAAAGCGCGCGUAGGUGGCUUGAUAAGCCGGUUGUGAAAGCCCCGGGCUCAACCUGGGAACGGCAUCCGGAACUGUCAGGCUAGAGUGCAGGAGAGGAAGGUAGAAUUCCCGGUGUAGCGGUGAAAUGCGUAGAGAUCGGGAGGAAUACCAGUGGCGAAGGCGGCCUUCUGGACUGACACUGACACUGAGGUGCGAAAGCGUGGGUAGCAAA
rnacentral:rRNA from 1 species